CACACAUAUGAAUAUUAAAAGAUCAGAAGUUUCCGACUUUAUUUCUUAUUUUUUGCUUAAAUACUUGAGAUUGCAUGAAUUAUCGAGGAGCAUGAUGGAAAUUGUUGGCUAAGCAGGUUUGUUUUCGGGUGAUCAUCCUGGUUUUUUAUUGUUGGCUAAGCAGGACUGAGCCACUUCUCAUGGAACACAAAGGAGCUCCUGUACUUUUAGUCUUCUCUCUUAGAUAGUAUAUACCAACCACUGAAUGAACAAGGCCAUGGACUGAAUCAAAAAGCAAUUUCUUGUGGAAGCAUUGUUACUUACUAGGUAUGGAAUCAUCAAGGUGAUCCCCAAGGUUCAUUCGAGUUCUCUAUAGGUAUGGUUAAUGAUCUUACAAGUAAGAGCUCGGUGACUAUCCUGAUCGUGUUAGUUUAUAUUUUAUCUUUUAUGUGUAAAAUGAGCUGCUGCUGGUGUUUAGUGGAUCAAAAGUUGCUUAGGAGAAACUUUUUUCUCUUCUU
rnacentral:lncRNA from 1 species